AGCACCCCUGUAAGAGUACCAACAGGAAGAGGAGAGAGAGAAAUGCAUCAAGACAUAAUGGGGCUUCUCUGGCAUCAAAUACAGAUGCUGCAGACUCUUGUGGAUCUAUAGAUUCAACAGUCAUCUCCUUUUGCAGUCUAUGGAGAACUCCAUUUUAGUGCCUUCCUACACCACCACCACCCCUAUAUUUCACAUGGCACUAGAAGCCACAUCUCUACCCCCACCACUCCACACCAGGGGACAAUAAGGACAAUUACACCUUCACAUACACUGACCUGUGAGAGAAACUGCAGAGCCAGGUAGAGCACAGUCCACCGCAACACAUUACUGUGGCUCGCUGUUAAAGUGCUCUUUCAAAGCCUUCCUGAGCCAUAUAGCUCAGGGUUGAGCUCUUCUAAUAGCCCUUGUGUCUGGCUCUUCAAAUUAAGCAGAGAGCACCUCCACCUCCAUUCUCUAUCCCGGCUGCAACUUUUCCCCCUUUCCGCCACAGAUAUUAUGCAGGACGCAGGAGGCAGCUAUAACCAUCAGGAUGUUUUUUUACUUAGAUUUUUAUGCAGAGUCUUGUGAGUAAACAACGCCAGCAUCUCUUCAAACUACCAAAAGCAGAUUCAACUGUCAUUCUGCAACUUCCGAGCUGGUAGCUGAAUCUUUCCUUCGUGCUCUCAAGAUGGCCAGCAUACAGCUUCAUGAGCCAGGGGAGCAAGAGCUCUCAUUCUGGUGUCCUAACACAGGAAUGCUGGGGUGAGCUUGGCACACAGAUCCAGGAAUGUGGCCUAGUGAAUCCAAAAGUUCUGCAGACCCUGCUCGUCAUCCCUAACCCUGCAUUAUGGUGCGACCUGAACAGUCAGUGCUCAUUUCUCAGACACAGAAGUGGCGCUCCACGAUCUGCAGCUGCUCCAUAAAUGACACCAACAACUUUGAAUUGGAUCUUGAUGUGUUCCACAGCAAUCUGUCCUCCACAAAAUUGUCAUAUUCCCCGCUGAUUCGGUUCUUCUUUCAACUCUGCAAAUAUCGGAGUAUCAUACAUCCUGUGAUUGCAACACUCAUGACAAUGGUGCAGAAAUGUGCAGGUGCCAUGCUUUUGUCAAAUAUGGCAGGCAGCAAGAAGGGCCAUGUGGGUUUGUGCAGUUUUUUUAAAAGGAGAAAAAUUAUGGGAUAUAGAUGGCAUUAUGGGAUAGAGAAAGUUGCAUGAUGGGAAAUUGACUCCCUUGCUCCCAGUCUCACCUUUCACUCCCAUAACUUCCCAAAAGACAGUGGACAGGACAGUGGCAAGUUGCACACAGGGAUAGCUAUCCAUAGUGCACCAUGCUGUGCAGCGAAACAAGCAUUCCUGGUGGGUUCACACAAUGCCAUCAUCAGGAGCUAAGUAUGCAUGCGCACAAGCAAUAUACUGUGACAGCUUUACGCCAACAUAGUUUGCAUCAGCAAAAGCUUGUAAUAUAGACAUGCCCUAAGUAACUUUCGAGAUCAGAGUGUGGAAAGAUAAUCUACAACCGUCAAGCGAGAGCCUAGCAGGUUUGUGUGACACGCAGAGGUAUUUUGGGUACAAUGACUUCUUUUGAAUUUAUAAGUUGUCUCAACCUGUAACAGUGCAGGGGAUUUUGGCAGAACACUCUCUUUUAUGACAGCACAUAUGCUGUUUAAGUCGUCAAAUCCUCUUGGCCAUUUUUCCAGGAAGAGGUUGAAUGCAUGUGGUAUGCAAGUCAUAGGAAUGGCAUUGGGAAAUGCCACUAAAAACUGAUCUAACAGCUGUUUUCAUUAAAGAAGCAUUAUGGGACAUCAUGCAAAAAACUCUGUCAAAAUCAACUUUCUGUAGUACCCUUAGUAAAGCAUGGCUGAGAGUGGAAUAAUUUUAAGCUAUCUAGCCAUUCAAUAUCUAGCAAAAGAAGUUUCUUAGUAGCUCUGAAAAAAAGGAUGAAUAAUGAUAGCUCCCUUCAGCCACAUAAGUCUGUUAUUUCAUCCAACAAUGCAUUCACCUGACAAUCAUGCACUGCUUGGAAAAUAAGUUCCUUGUGUUCUGGUCUGAGUUGCGGAAGGUAAAUAUUUCUUAGUUGUGCAGGACUUGGAAGAGUUCCACCUUCCUUUGUGUAAUGGCAUGAAAAAUCAGUUUACAAUGAGGCCUUUACAAGGGCAAUAUCAGCUCAGACAAUAACUCUUGACAAAUGCCAGCAUAAAGCUAUCACAGUAUUCUUCAGAGUGCACUGUCUGACAUAAACACCCAGUUUUUGUUGUUGUCUGGGACUCAGGCCCUUCACCUUUAUUUUUAGAGUGUCUUCUCCUCCAACUAUAUUUUGUAUUUAGCAUAAAUGUGUAGGGCUUGUUUUGUAAAUGUGAAAUACUAUGGAAACAGAACAGAAUAUUACUGCCAGCAAAUUCAAUGAUACAGAUUUUCAGGGCAAAACUAUGCUCAUUCAACUACGUAAACCAUAUUGAUGGCUGUAUUUUUGGAGGGCUGGGGUGGUGGGAGAAGGGAAAGGUCAGCUUUUUUAGUAGUUUCCCAUAAUAACUUUUAUACCAUGAAGGUGUGGCUUUUUGUAGAAUAUGUACACACACACACACACAUAUACAUAUAUAAAGAGAGCAUGCACACACAGUUUUGCUGGCUAGCUGCACUACAAAAAUGGCUUAAAAUAAAUACCCAAAAAUGAAAAUAAACCCCCCAAAACCAGAAACCUUAAGUAUAAUUCAGAAAUUUCCUUUCUAACAUCCCUCUCUGUACUGCUUCUACUGUCUUCGCAAACAAUAUACAAAAUAUUACUUCUUCUCAAUGUGAGAAUCAAAGGCUGCAUCAGCUCUUCCCACAAGUCUUCUUACCACAAAAAAUUCAGGGGGUGGCGGAUUUUCCUUUUUUCUUCUAAUUAUCAACAUGACUUGGCUUCCCAGCAUACUUGUAUGUCCUCCCAGGCAUGCUGCACCAGAAAAACAACACUAGUGGAAAGUCUAAAUUCAUGUCUUCUAAAUUCUGCUUGAACUAUUAACAUGUACUUCCAUCUCACUUAGAAUCUGAUUACGCAUAGUCUACCUUGCACUGCAUCAGUGUCAAUGGACAAACAGUAUGGCUGCUAAAUUAAGGAAGCACAUAAUGCCAAAUCAUGCUAUUCAGAUCACUACACAAGAUUCAUGUUAAUUUGGUCUGAAAUAGCCUGAAUUUGGUGGACAUGUUUGAUGGGGUAUUUGGUGGGCUGAGACUAUGAAGGGGUGGAUAAAAGUUUCUGUAAGUAUCUGUCUGAGUUCCUGUUAAAUCAAUCCUGCUGGAACUUUAUGACGUUAUUAUGUUAGGACACCUAGAGUCUUGGAGAGGUGUCUUUUUAUUAUUUAAAAUCUAAAUAAAUACUGAGAUAAUAUUUAAUAACUUUCCAGAAACAGUUGUUCUCCAAAGACAUUGUAUAUCUCUAUACAAACAAAUUACCUCUAUGGGUUCUGUAUUAAGACCCAGAGAGAACUCCUGAAGUUCAAUGCUCUGAGCUCUUGAAUUCAGCAAAAGGUAUCCUCAUCAAAACAUAUUUGCUGUCAGCAAUGUUCAUCACACUCUCUUUAUCAAGACUGUAGCCUUUUUCAUUACCCCAUCAUUCUAUUAUUUAUGUUUUGCUAAAACUAUAUAUUAUAACACUGAUACACUGACCGUUCCUAUAUUCAGCACCCGUAACACAUUAGACACCAAAUUUCCUUAUCCUGUUCUUAUUUACAGCAUUUCAUUGUGGAGCCUGAGUUGCACAGUGACAUCGUUCUAGGGCUCACGAGUGGCACUCCAAUGGCAUGAUCCAAAGCCAACUGAAGACAACAGAAGCCUUUCCAUUGACUUCAGUGGGUUUUGGGUAGGGAUCAAGAGAGGAGUGGGACCAACGGGAUGAAUGCAUCAGCAGUUUCAAUGAUAAAAUCACGAUGAAAAGGAACCUAAGCUCCUCCAAAAGAUGCUCUUAAUAGGAGCUGGAGAAAAGAACAUCAAAUUCUUGGAGCUUUGAUGAUGUCAGAGACACCAAACUCUAGUAGGAGUCCAUGGGAAUCUCUGGUAAAUUUGUAAAUUGAGCAACUUGUAGAUUAUUUGGGUACAGAUGAACAAGUCAAGGAUACCAAAGAACUUGCAACACUGAAAGCAGAGUUCUUUUUUAAUAUGUAACAAUAUCGUCCAGUGCUUGAAAUAAAUUCUCAAAUGAAGCAGCUCAUUAUUUUGUGAAAUAUAUUAAUGUAUUGGAGAAAACACAUCGCUUUUGCUGAAUCACAAGUUUCUCAGUUUAUUAUUGAUGUCACCCAUAAGACAAACAGAGUUUUAUUUAGAAAUGCAUGGUGGGAGAAUUUGCCAAGUCCAGGGCAACAUUACAUUUUAUCUAGUAUGGGAAAUUUUCACUUUUCUUAAUGAUGAACUAGCUGGCUUUCGAUGGAUUAUGUUAGAGGCUGAGAACUAAAAGAAUAAUAAUAAGCAUGUAUGGAAAUUUGUUUAAUUAUUGCAGUAGCACAUUUCAAUGACUUAAGUCUAAUUAAUUCCCUUUGCUAUUUGAAGCCUUUUUUUUUUUUUUUUUUUGCUUUUAUGACCAAAACCUGCUCUGUUUUUAUUAUUUUGGGCUCAAUCAUUCCCACCCCGGGAAUGGGUUUUGCGUAGGAAAUUUUCAUGAGGAACCCUCACAUCAUCCUAUGGGGAAGGGAUCAAUUUGUCCUCCAGCUGUGCAGUAGCCUGCAGGAUAUGCUGUUUUCCUGGCAGGUCCCCAGAAACCACAUGGAGGAUAUAGAAGGCCACCCAGAGGUUCUGUGCCUCUGCACGAAACUAGGCCUCAGUGGCAAACUUGGUCUAAUGUGUUGCUCCAUUUAUUUAACCUAUUUGCUUUUGAGGAAUGGAGACAGAAUUGCAUAACAUACAGUCCCAGAGCCUUAAAAUUCCAUCUUAUCCCUCAGAGAGUUUACAAGAACAUAUUGCUACUCAAUAGAUUUCACCCUGCAGGGCAAGUGGGACUUUAGGAGUCUAGGGCUUGAAUCUGAUUUAACUUACACCUGUGCAAGUCAGGAGUAACUAUUGAACCCCAUGGUGUUAAACUAGUAUAAAAAUGGUGUAUGUGAAAAAAGAAUCAGGUUCCAUCACUGCUAUUGUUUAAGACUACGAUUAUGUCACAGAGGUCAUGGAAGUCACGGAAUCUGUGACUUCCAGAGACCUCUGUGACAUUUUCUGUCCUGGUCCCAGCCAGCCCCCCCCUUCCCCCCGCAGCUCUCAGCCCUUGCCCUGGUGGGGGGACCCCCCACAUCUGCCCAGCUGUGGCAGACAGACCCUGUGAGGGGACCCCGCAGCAGCCCAGCCCCCACAGGUGGCAGGGGACCCCAGAGCUCCCACUCACUGCAGGUGGCAGGGUACCCCCCCCAGAGCUCCUUGCUGCCACAGAUGGCAGGGGCCCCCCCAGAGCUGGUCAGCCAUUGCGCGGAGGGAUUCCAGAGCUCCCACUGACCGCAGCGGCAGGGGACCCCAAGCCGCAGCAGCAGUGAGUGCUGAACCCACCUGCCCAUUUUGUCAGGGAUAGUUUUAGUGAAAGUCAGGGACAAGUCAUCGGCUUCUGUGAAUUUCUGUUUAUUGCCCGUGACCUGUCCAUGACUUUUACUAAAAAUAUCUGUCACAAAAUCUUAGUCUUACUGUUGUUUAGUCAAAGGAGUUCUGCUCUCUGAGGCUUUCACUGACUGACUUUUCAUAUCCUCUUCUAUUCACAACUUUGCUUUUCAACUUUAGUGGCAGAAAUCCAGGCCAGAAACAAAGCAGUGGUCCCUGCAUUUCUCUAAUGAAAUACAAUUAUUGUCAUAUUUGAGCCAAAUGGAAAAUAGACAUGAGGCCAAGACAUUUUUUCUUGUUUUGUUAUGACUGACGGUCCUAUUAAAUAUUCAGCCAAGCAAGUAUCCUAUAUAGUAUUGUUAGCCAAGAUUUUUCAAAAGUGGCUAGUGAUUUUGGGUGUGUAAUUUUAAAUAUCUUAAAGGAGCUUGAUUUGGACACACUGUUGCACACCUUCUGAAAAUCAGGCAUCUUAAAGUGUCGCAAGUUGGGCUCCCAAAUCUCUAGCCGCUUUAGAAAGCCUUGACCUUGAUCUUUUCAGACAAGAGAGAGUGGUUUAACUUGGCUAAUGUCACCAAAUGAAUUUACAUCUACUAGUCCCAAAGAGAUAAAGGACAUGUAGGGAGAGCUCCAUACAAGACAACCUGCAGAGUUUGGUAAAGCAAUCUCUGUUUUUAUAAUAAAAUGCUAAGAAUGAGACAAAGUAGCUUUUUGUAUGGAUGGAAAAGACACAGGAUUUACUGUACUGCUUCAACUUGUACAAAGUUGACAGUGCCUUUAUUGUACAAAAGAAAAAUAAAUUAAACAAACGACAGAGCAAGUAGAGUAAAGAGAUGCUCUUUUUCAGCUAUUUUCAUACCAUAUGGUCGUAUAAUUCAUCUAAUUCAGCUACUUGGUUUUCCAGGACUUACUUUUAGCUCUUUGUUCAGGAUUUUUUUUAUUUAUUUUACUAACAGAAAGAUAUAAUGGACUGGAGCGAUAAAACAGAAAUCAGACCUUUGCUAAAACUGUCAAAAUUCGCCUUUUUGAGAUUGGAAGCUCUUUGGUGCAGAUAACCUAUACAUCUGUACAGCGCCUAGCACAAUGGGGCACGGGACUUCUCUGGGGUCUCUACGUACUACUGCAAUACAUAUGUUAAAUAACAAGAAAUGAUGAUGACGAAUGUUUAAUAUCUUUCACAAAAACGUGCUUGUAAUCAAAACUCUGUUUUUGUCAGUAAAAUAGUCUUCCUUCCCUAAAAACAUACAGUAUGUCACAGCAGAAAUGAUGCAAAAGGAUGAAGUUGUUCAAUCACUUGGUCUCAGUCUGAAUACAACCUAUAAGAUCAUCAGUUAAAAUCAUAUAUGAGAUGGUAUCCGAAAGAUCCAUUUUUAAAUUGUCACUACAAAAUAAAAAGGACUGCAAAAAUU